CCCAGUAGUGAGAUUUCUUGGUCAUAUGGUAGUUUUAUUCCUAGUUUUUAAAGGUCUCUCCUAUUGUUCCCCAUAGUGGCUGUAUCAGUUUAUGUUCCCACCAACAGCGUGUCACACAUUCCUCAUAUCGUUUGUAGGUCUUCAGAAACGGAAGAAUAGUGUACGCCUGUGCCUCUCUGCCUUCAAAACCCAAACCAGUGAUCACUGGAGCACUCCAUGUUUUCUCACAAGAACGUAACUUCAUUUCCCCAUAGCUGCUUUGAAGUGUUAUUCUAAGAAAGUCUGAUGCCAAAAUCUUCUAAGCUAUUGUAUGGAAGAUUAAAUUUUACUGUUGUGUGGUGAGACUCCUCAGUGCCUGACUGUCAUUGGAAUUGGAUGCUCCAACACAGAGUCUGCAGUGUAUUCAGAAGUCCAGAUUAACAGAAUCUGCCUACCAUCAGCCCCAGGUAUACAGUACAGAUAGAUGUAUGACCUGGACAGGAAGCUCCCAACAGCCGCGGGACCAGGUAGGAAGCAGAAUCUAACACGGCAGGACUCACUGGAGCAGAUACAGCCGUCUGCCUGGACUGGGAACGGGAGCCCAGCACCUGAUCUGUAUUACAGCAAAGCUAGAUAAGUGAUUUUGAAUUCUUUGUAUUUUUAGAUGGCAACCAUACAUUUUUUUCCCAAAAAUGUAUUGGGUGGGGGGAGGGAGUUGGUGACAGUUGUAGCCUGUAGUUGACCAGUCUGCAAGCUGGAAGCCUCCUUUGGCAUCAUGAGUUGCUUUAGGUUUCUGAGUCUUCCAUCACAUUUAAAACAACUCUCACUGGUCAAAAAUCAGAGAAGCAAGGCUCAAAAUCAUCAUUCUAUGUAGUCGUAGUAUAUAACAAACGUAAGUGAAAAACAUCAAUGAGGUAAAAAAAAUUCUCAGUUUGGAAUAUAAAAUGUGGCGUAAGUGGCCCAGGCAACUGUGUGACGGUAGGCUGUACCAACACUUGUAGUGAUGCACCAAGAAAUACAUGUUGUUGACUAUACUGUUUACAGCUUGUGCUGUUUUUAUGUAAAGGAGCUUCAUAAUAAGCUUGAUUUUCUAGCGCACUGUAAACCACAGAAAUAGGCUGAAAGAAGUCUUUCCUAGUCGCAGUGUUCAGGGCUAUCUGUCUUAUACUGCACGGCCUUGAAAACCUGGAUUCCCUCACAUCAGAAUCGUACUGCUUACGCAUCAUAGGGCAAGUUCUCUAGACAUGUAUCUGCAGGCUUGCUUUUCAGCUUCCCCAUCUUGCACUGGGAAUGAAUAGCAUUUCUUUUUUAUUUAGUGUCUCUUACCUGUUACCUCCUCUAAUUUUAGAUGGUAGAGCUAAAAUGGUUUUUAAAAAAGCCUACAUUUCAAUUGAAAUGGUUUGCUCUGUGAUCACUUCAGUCUAGGUGGUUUUAUAGCGGGGAGUUGAUGGAAAGUUAUUUUAAGAAACUGACAUUUUAAUGGUACUUUUCCCUUCUCGCGUGAACUGCAAUGAGGUGACUGGCUGAAAACAGAUUCCUACAGAAGGAACACAGUGAGCAAUGCCUGUGUUGGACUUAAUGGACAGCACUGAUUCCUAUGGUUGUGGAUUUUGCUAAGGGUACUUACAUUUCCAGUUUCUUUAAGAAAUUAGUGAUCAAAGUUGGUAAGCUUUUUAGUAGCCUCUCACCCAGCGCCCCCCAGCGGCCACUCUUCCACUGUUGUGACUUCUAAGAAUGACUGUUGAACUGUUUCAGAGUAUUUUCAACAGACUGUACAUCCAUUGAGAUCAUGUGUUUUCUAGAAUGUUAAUAAAUCAUUCCCAUCAGCACGUAAAUAUGCUUUCAGAAAAAGAAAAAAAACCUCAUGCUUCUCUCCUCUUCAUUUUACAGUAAAAUGCCAUUUUGAUUCUCUUGCUCUAGCAAAACUGCUCUUAUCACGACGCCCCUUCAGCAAGCCUGGAUGCUCUCAGUGAGCAAAUCCAGCUGUCUGCAGAGGUUUCUGCAGUGGCCAGCCUUCUGCUGGAAGUCUCUCCUUCCUUUUUAUUUAAAAUCACCUUUGGAGAGGCUUCUGUGACACCCGACAGCAGAGAGCUCUUCACACCCUACUCAUUUCACGGCCACCUUUACCGGGUUUUAGGUUUAGCACUUAACCCCAUCUGAUUCACUAAGUUCAUAACUGGGAAAAAAGAUUCCCUUUGCCUGUAUGUUUUAAUGUCAUCUCUUACCUUUGUU